UACGGAGGGUGCAAACGUUGCUCGGAAUCAUUGGGCGUAAAGCGCACGUAGGCGGUUCGUUAUGUCGGAUGUGAAAGCCCUUGGCUUAACCGAGGAAGUGCAUCCGAAACUGGCGAGCUAGAGUACGAAAGAGGAUCGCGGAAUUCCCGGUGUAGAGGUGAAAUUCGUAGAUAUCGGGAGGAACACCAGUGGCGAAGGCGGCGACCUGGGCCAAUAUUGACGCUGAGGUGCGAAAGCGUGGGGAGCAAACAGG
rnacentral:rRNA from 1 species